UUCUCAGGGGGUUGACUGGCCCUCCCACUGUGGGCGGCGAUGACAGGAGCCACGGUCUGCAGAGCUGAACGUCAGCAGGGGAACCGGUGCCAGCCCGUUCAGCUGCGGUGCUGCAAGCAGCUUUCAACCGGACCCGGGAGCUUGAGGCGGCCGGGUUAGAGCCCAAAGCAAUGGCUGGAGUGUCAGGAGCCAGGGAUGGGAGGUGGCUGGACCGAGUUAAAGAGCAGGGACAGAUGGAGGGAGGGGCAUUCCAAAGAAAGAAAGGGCCUCAGACCUCUGCUGUGGGAUACAGAACCCGAGGAAGAAACCCUCUCUUUAAGGGGUCCAGGGGGUGGCUUUGCUAACUGGAAAACAGGUAGUCAUUUGUACAAAAGUAAGAUCAACAAACAGUAAUUGGCUAAAUUCCAACAGAAGGCAAGCCAUUCUAGAUUUUCCCUCAUUCCAUCGAUGAAAAAACUGAAGCAAUCAACCUCGGGCAGAUGCUGUAGGAUUUGAGUGCUUUUUAAAAAUUAUUAUUAUUAUUUGCCUCUUUUUCUGUAUUAAUUUUUUUAGUGAGUACGCGUUGUUUCAGAUAAUAGACAAAAGUAAUCAAGGAUCUUCUGAAGCUAGUUUUAGGGUUAUCAGGAUUAGAAUUGCAGGUACGCAGAGCAAUGGCAGGAACAAAGUGGAUGGCCCUCCCGGAGGGACCCUGCGCGCUCCCUGGGGACCCUGACAGCCUCACCGUGAGCUGCUUGAUGAUCUCCUCUCUCUCCUUCAGGCGGGUCUGCAGGCGGCCUAUGAGCUGAACGCCCUCUGGCCUGGACGCCCCCUUUCCUGGCUUCCCUCCGGAAUCUUUCAGGCUGUUUGAAAUGGGGCAUGCAGUUAGUCUCCUUGCUGCCAUUACCCAACAAGCAGGUGGACGGCGUGGGGACGCUGAUGUGAGCCUAGCCUGGCCAACUAAUCUGUCCGUUCACAAAAGGGGAAACCGAGGCUGGGAGAGCUUGCCCGGGACCAUCCAGGGAGUUGGCUGCAGAGCUCAGGGCAUGUGAAGCAUGUGAAGCGCGCCCCAGGCCAUUGCAUUUGCUGUUGUGUCUGCUUGGAAUGUUCCUCCAGAUGGCUCUCUCAUUCCCUCGCCUCUUUGUGCUUGAAGGUCACCUCUUAGACAUGUCCUUGCCCGUCCUUGUCACUCCCUAGACAUUGAUCCUGUAUUUCUUUUAGCACUUUCAAUACCUGAUAUGAAGUUAAUUAUUCAUCUGCUUAUUUCUUGUCUGGAUUGCCAUCUAGAAUUUGUGAGCUCCGUGACAGCAUAGUCUUUGUUUAUGUCUGGCAGUAACUCCAGAGCCUACAGCAGUGCAGGGCACACAGUAGGAUCUUAAUAACAUCUGUUGAAUGAGUAAAUAAUAAAGAUGUAUGCAUACAG